rnacentral:rRNA from 1 species
GUUGAUCCUGCGGGAGGUUGCUGCUAUCAGGGUUCGACUAAGCCAUGCAAGUCAGAGGGCUUCUUCGGAAGCACAGGCAAAAUGCUCAGUAACACGUUGAUAAUCUGCCUUUAGGUCUGGAAUAACCUUGGAAAACUGAGGCUAAAACCGGAUAGGAGAAUUAUACUGGGAUGUUUUUUCUCUUAAAAGCAAUGCCUAAAGAUGAGUCAGCGGUGGAUUAGGUUGUUGGUGAGGUAAAGGCUCACCAAGCCGAGGAUCCAUAGGGGCCUUGAGAGAGGUCGCCCCGAGAAGGACACUGAGAUACUGGUCCUAGCCCUACGGGGUGCAGCAGGCGCGAAAACUUUACAAUGCACGCAAGUGUGAUAAGGGGACCCUGAGUGCUAGUGUAUAACACUGGCUUUUGCCAAGAGUAAAUAUCUUGGCGAAUAAGUGGUGGGCAAGACUGGUGCCAGCCGCCGCGGUAACACCAGCGCCACGAGUGGGAACCGAUUUUAUUGGGCCUAAAGCGUCCGUAGCUGGUUUAGCAAAUCUUUUGUGAAAUCAUCAGGCUCAACCUGAUGGCGUGCAGAAGACACUACUAAACUCGGAACCGGGAGGAGUCAGAGGAAUUCUGGGGGGAGCGGUAAAAUGUUAUAAUCCUCAGAGGACCACCAGUGGCGAAGGCGUCUGACUAGAACGGAUUCGACAGUGAGGGACGAAAGCCAGGGGAGCGAUCCGGAUUAGAUACCCGAGUAGUCCUGGCUGUAAACGCUGCGAGCAAGGUGUUGCGCAUUCCACGAGAGUGUGCAGUGUCGAAACGAAGGUGAUAAGCUCGCCGCCUGGGAAGUACGGUCGCAAGACUGAAACUUAAAGGAAUUGGCGGGGGAGCACCACAAGGGGUGCGGCGUGCGGUUUAAUCUAACUCAACACAGAGAACCUCACCAGGGGCGACGGCAGGAUGACGGUCAAGCUAAAGACUUUACCUGACGAGCCGAGAGGUAGUGCAUGGCCGCCGUCAGCUCGUGCCGUAAGGUGUCCUGUUAAGUCAGGCAGCGAGCGAGACCUGUACCUAUAAUUGCUAACAAGUCUAUCAGAUGAUUGAGCACAUUAUGGGAACUGCCUUGGAAACAAGGAGGAAGGUGCAGGCUACGGUAGGUCUGUAUGCUCUGAAUCCUCUGGGCUACACGCGCGCAACAAUGGUAAGGACAGUGGGAUACAACUCCGAAAGGAGAAGUUAAACCUCGAAACCUUACCUUAGUACGGAUUGAGGAUUGCAACUCAUCCUCAUGACGAUGGAAUCCCUAGUAAUCGGGUAUAAUCAAUGCCCGGUGAAUAUGUCCCUGCUCCUUGCACACACCGCCCGUCAAACCACUCGAGCAGGGUUUAGGUGAGAAUCAGUUUUUUUGAUUGCUUCGAACCUAAACUCAGUGAGAUGGGUUAAGUCGUCACAAGGUA